UGGGAUCAAAACAAAGGCACAGUGAAUUCCUCAUAGCAUCUUCUUUGGGAUUACUCAGGAACUAGAACUUGCCACACAAAUGUAAGAAAUUCUGCCAAGGAAUUCCAUUACCUAAGAGCAUCUCACAAGGCUCCA
rfam:Tupaia chinensis contig125504, whole genome shotgun sequence.